rnacentral:rRNA from 1 species
UGGGUCUCGCUCGUUACCUGACUUAACAGGAUGCUUCACAGUACGAACUGACGACGGCCAUGCACCACCUCUCAGCUAAUCCGGCAAAGUCUUCAGCCUGGCCUUCAUAUUGCUGUCGGUCCCGGUAAGAUUUCCGGCGUUGAAUCCAAUUAAACCGCAAGCUCCACCCGUUGUGGUGCUCCCCCGCCAAUUCCUUUAAGUUUCAGCCUUGCGGCCGUACUUCCCAGGUGGCUCGCUUCACGGCUUCCCUACGGCACCGACAACGGUCGCACCGUGGCCGACACCUAGCGAGUAUCGUUUACGGCUAGGACUACCCGGGUAUCUAAUCCGGUUCGUGCCCCUAGCUUUCGUCCCUUGCCGUCAGGUCCGUUCUGGUGAGACGCCUUCGCCACUGGUGGUCCUUCAAGGAUUACAAGAUUUCACCCCUAACCCCUGAAGUACCUCUCACCUCUCCCGGCCUCGAGCCAGACAGUAUCUCCUGAAAGCCUGACAGUUAAGCUGCCAGAUUUCUCAAGAGACUUAUCCGGCCGGCUACAGACCCUUUAGACCCAAUAAUAACGGUUACCACUCGAGCCGCCGGUGUUACCGCGGCGGCUGGCACCGGUCUUGCCCGGCCCUUGCUAUGAAAUGCUUUUUAGGCAUCUCGACAGCCAGAUUUGUAACCUGGCACUCGAGGUUCCCUUAUCGCUGUUGCCAGCAUUGUAAAGUUUUCGCGCCUGCUGCACCCCGUAGGGCCUGGAUUCGUGUCUCAGAAUCCAUCUCCGGGCUCUUGCUCUCACAACCCGUACCCGUCGUAGGCUAGUAGGUACGCUACACCCACUACUACCUGAUAGGCCGCAGACCCAUCCUUAGGCGCCGGAGCUUUUAAUCUCGGUGCAUUCCAGCAGCCGAGACUUAUAGGGGAUUAUACCCAGUUUCCCGGGUUUAUACCCAACCUAAGGGCAGGUUGUCCACGUGUUACUGAGCAGUACGCCAUGUAUUGCUACAUUCGACUCGCAUGGCUUAGUCGAACCUCGAUAGCAGUAACCUCUGGCAGGAUCAACCGG